UUCCGACCUGGAAAGUCCCGCCCAUUCGCAGAUAAAGGCACACAGCUUUAGAUUUUCACAACGUGCCAACGUGGUGUUUGCUGCUGCCAUGGCAGCCAUGCUGCUGCUGCAACAUCCCCGGAAGACAUACGAUUAAAAGGCAACAUUAAACCAACGAUAGAUUCACUGGAAACAGAUGGGAAAAAGAAAUGACAGAACACAUGUUCCACGCUGCUGGGACUCGAUAUCUGAAAGCUGUCUGCAAAAUUCGCGGCAAACAGAAACUAUGAUAAAACGGAAAACACUGGAAUUCCGGCAGAAUUUGAUGUGUUAAUGGUAUCUUCAAUCCAAGACGAGUAAGAGCUAAUCCUCGUGUAUCCGCUGGGAUGACCUUUUUUGCAGCCUCGAUCCGAUCCAAAAGAGAUGAUUCCAAUCUGCUUCCACGUCCCAUCCGGCUGUUGGAAAUUCAUGGGGCCGCCACUGUCACCCUGGAGUAUUAAACCUACUAUGCAAGUUCCACUGCUAUUGGCUCCGCUAGUGCAAAUAAUUGCGUCCAUGAUGUUGCUGCCGUAAGUGAGACGGCAUUUAUCAUUAGAAAUAACUGGAACUGUCAUCUUGUGAAGUACAGGACUCAUGUGACGUGACUAUUGACAUAAUCCGGCUCGCUUGAACUCGCUACUCAAACGGGACUGAUAUAUUUUGUGCAAAUUAUCUUUACCCGAGAAUUUGACAGAGGAUUUCAGUUUAAUUAGAGCAAUGUCUCCAACCUGCAUAGUGGGAUUCCAGUCAGGGUGGACGAAAUUCUCACUGCUCGAGUAUGAUUUCUGGUUGUCUUCUGACACCUUGCGAUCGUGUUUGCCCAGGUCAAUAAAUCCUGAAAAGAGUAAUGUCGUAAAUACCCUGGUACGACGAGACAACGUGCAGCUGUGAGGAUCCAUUGGUCGGAAAUCAAACUUCCUCCGCAGGCGUAAGCAUUGCCUCCUUGCAUCCCUACUUGGAUGAAGGCUUGCCACAGAAGAACUCGUUGGCUAUAACCUGUUCUCCUCCAGCAAUCCUGUUGUUUUCCACGCCGGGCGAUAUCCGCUUGGUUUUAGCUACACCGCAGCCUGAAGACGUCUUACUGAUUCUAGUGCUGCCAUAUACUGCCGGAGCCACAGCCACAAAGAUGGUAACCAGAGUAAGGAGCCUCAUGGGACAAUGCGUUUGGGCAAUAGUUGUUCAGAUAUCCUGUGCGUUAAGUCUUGAGAUGUGUCAAGUGGCUUUACAGGCACAUUUGCAAUCACAAACUAAAUCGUUCGUGUGUUUUUUUUUUAUCUGUUGACAUAGCAAAACACUUUAUUUUGUGGUUCCCAUCUGGUCUCUUUUCAAAUAAGUUAUCGAUAGAGUAGAUUGACGUAGUAGAUAAGAAACAAAGUUGCAUCUUAGUCCAGUAAACAAUAAACUAGUCACUGUAAUCAUUACAAAAUGAAAUGUGUCACUAUGGCGCAAAUCAACAUUUCCAUGAUUUCGUCUUUUGAUGAUUAAUAAGUCUUCAAGUGGUCCUUAAAAGAGCUCAACUUAUAUCUUAGGUAAUUUUUAAAAAUGUUAUUGAACGGCUUCAUGUAUUGUUUUUUGAAUGAUAGGGCCAAUGACCGUAGUAGUUUAUUGGUUGUACAGUAUUUCGAAACACAGAGGUGAUUUAUCGGUUAGAAAAUGUAAUCGAAAUUUGUUUCCAAUUAUUCUGCAGAUGUUGUACGUUUUUCCGUUAACUUCCACGUACAACAAAUUAUCGAUAUGACCGAUGAUGCAGUUUUAAAACAUUGACAUAAAGAGGCUCUUGUUCUUUUCAUUUUGUUUAAUUUGCAUUGUGGAAAGGUUCAGCAGUUUAGCAAACAUUCGGUUGAUCCAAGUGCAAUUCGUUCUCUGGCGAUGUUACAGAAAAAUAUAAUUCAUGAGCAUAUUUGUUGUGAAACAAACGAUGAUGCUUUUGUGGCAACGAUCCCGUUGACGAUUACAGCUAAAAUGCCGCUGAUGAUCAUUAAGGAAUCGAUGGCAGCUCUGUCACCUGGAAAAUUUACGAUCGAUAAUUGGUAGUAUAUCAGAGACGAUCAAUAGCUUACAAAUUUUGGUCAAACCGCAAUUAGCUAUCGCUUCCUGAUAGCUACUAAUUCUCCACGAAAAAAGUCCUAUUAACGUGAUACCAAUCAACACGGCGACGACUGCCAUUCCAGUGACGGCAUCACUCGAUUUAAACCUACACGAGCACACCGAAGAUGACUAGGUAAAUUCCUCCCCAGAGGAUAAUCCAUAUUAUGAUAAAUGGAACCCAUUCUAAAUAAAUGAAUAAUGCCGCUAUCUGUGGAUAAAUUAAUUGACUUCCUGAGGAAUAAAAGUACAACAUCAAAUUACCUGCAAACUGAACGCUAGAAGACCCGCAAGCACAUUGAUUAGCGUCACUUAGCCAUGAUGAAACAAAAUCGUCUUAAUUCCGAAUGCCAGUUGAAGCCAUAUGGAAUGCCAACCAAGCGUUCAACGACCAGUGCCACUGAUAAAGGAAAUGCUUAAGUGUCAAAGUGUCUUCUAUUACUAAUCAACUGUAAAAGGCCAGUACGUUUGCACGCAAUCGGAUUUAAGAGGCAUGUCGAAUGAAUCAUCCCCAUUGCGGUGGCGCCACUGUUUUUCCGGUAUGUUGCAAUGUUCUACACGUCAAUAUUUGAUUCAUGUCAUAGUACAAGGUAAACAUUCAUGUUCCAAAUGUUUUAAGCAAAGACGUUAGUCAUAGGAGGAGCUUUUGAAGCUAUAAAUAUGUUGAGAAUGACAACCAGACCUCCGCUGCAAAUCAUCAACGAGUCGAUGGCUACUCGGCCACCUAUUUCAAAAGAGAAGGUCAGUUAAAAUCCCUCCUGCAGUGUAACCAAAGUAUAGAAUCAUUUACUUACAUAAUCCAAUUUCGUUACUAAAUUGAAACCAUUCACAUCUAUCGAUAAACUCGCUGUACGAGCUUACGUUCCAAGCGUGCAACCCAAUUAAUGUGAAUCCAAUCAACAUGGAAUAGACUGCCAGAGCUUUGAUGGUACCAGUAUUCAGCCUACGUGUACAAAAUUUAUGGGAAAUUUGCGCUAUUGCGGUUAUCAACGGUAUCAGUAAAUUAACAGGUUUUCAUUCGUUUUUGCAGCAAGAAGCAAACAGGACGAGAAAGGCUCCACCCCAGAUACCCGUACAAACCAAAUCCGGGAUGAAGGUUGCAUCACUAACUGCUAGUGCUGCAAUCUGUGUGGGUAGUGUGGGUACCAAACGUUUAUAAGCUGAGAUGCAACCAAUAGCAUCAAAUAUGGCAAGAAAAUUAAAAGUUCAGUAAUAAAGAUCAAGCACCGGAUUACGAACAAUGCCAACCAAUUGCAUGUUAAAUAACAAAUGUUUUAUUUCAUUCUAUUUGGUUCAGGUUGACCUAAGCUGCAAUUAAAAUCAAAAUGUAAAAUCAA